GUCUGGAUAUCAUGCUUUCUGCAGACAGCUGGUUGGCCAUUUAUCAUAUUUCCUCUCUCUGUUUCAUACUUGUAUCGUCGAAGGAAAAAGGGUUCCAGGACCAAGCUUUUCUAUAUNCUCUUCUUAGCUUGUGCUGUUAUAGGUGUUCUUACUGGCUUUGAUGAUUUUCUUGCUGCCAGUGGUGUUUCUCUUCUACCCGUCACUACUUAUUCUCUUGUAAUUGCUACCCAACUGGGCUUUACUGCUGGAUU
rnacentral:misc_RNA from 1 species